ensembl:misc_RNA Metazoa_SRP Metazoan signal recognition particle RNA
GCAGGGCAUGGUGGCACAUGCCUGUAGUCCCAGUAACAUGGGAGGCUGAGGCAGGAGGAUCUCUUGAGUCCAGGAAUUCUGGGAUGUUGUUCACUAUGCCAGUCAGGUAUCCACACGAAGUUCAGCAUCAAUAUGGUGACCUCCUGACAGCAGGGGACCACCAGAUUGCACAAUGAGGGGUGAACUGGCCCAGGUCAGAAAUGGAGUAGGUUAAACUCCCAUGCUGUACAGCCGUGGAAUUGUGGUUGUGAAUAGCCACUAUACUCUAACAUGGGCAACAUAGUGAGUCCCUGCCUCUU